rnacentral:snRNA from 1 species
AACUCUUGACUCUCUCUUCAAACCGCAUACAUCUUUCGCCUUUUAGUACAGAUUUCCGUGGAGAGAGUCAAUUACAGAGUCAUAAGGAUGUAUGGUUUAAAAGACUAAUCCCAUAUA